UUGGAGGGCAAGUCUGGUGCCAGCAGCCGCGGUAAUUCCAGCUCCAAUAGCGUAUAUUAAAGUUGUUGCAGUUAAAAAGCUCGUAGUUGAAUUUCGGGGUUCUUCCGUUGGUCAGGCUAACAAGUCUGUACUAGCGUGUAGAAUCUCUACCUUCUGGGGAACCAUCAUAUUAUUAAUUUAGCGUGGCGGGAAACCAGGACCUUUACCUUGAAAAAAUUAGAGUGUUCAAAGCAGGCUUACGUCUGAAUACAUUAGCAUGGAAUAAUAAAAUAGGACGGUGGUCCUGUUUUGUUGGUUUCUGAAUCACCGUAAUGAUUAAUAGGGAUAGUUGGGGGCAUCAGUAUUCAAUUGUCAGAGGUGAAAUUCUUGGAUUUAUUGAAGACUAACUUCUGCGAAAGCAUUUGCCAAGGAUGUUUUCAUUAAUCAAGAACGAAAGUUAGGGGAUCGAAGACGAUCAGAUACCGUCGUAGUCUUAACCAUAAACUAUGCCGACUAGGGAUCGGACGAUGUUAAAUUUUAUUGACUCGUUCGGCGCCUUACGGGAAAC
rnacentral:rRNA from 1 species